CCUGGAGGCCUUCUUGGAGGCAGAGGCGCAGGCUCUUCGCAUACAGCCUACUGUGGGCCUGGGUAGCAAGGUCGCCCCGCACGGGGCCACAGAGAAACACGCUGUGGCCAGACUGUCUGCCCCAGGAGAUCUUGGAUUAUUGCUUCACAAGCAGGGUGGGGGAAUGGGCGUUCCUGGCCUGUGAUUGGCCAGCGGGCUCCGGGCCCCAGUCAGGUGGGUUCUAAGUUCCAGUCGCUGCCUGAGUCCCUGUUGGAGCGGCCCAGCCUGGCCUCCAGGUAUCUAGGUAUCCUCCCAUCUCAGGCCAGACUGGAGAUUGAGCGCCUGUUGUAUACGGGCCCUGGGCUAACCCUCCCCCCAUCACACAACUCAACAGCAACGCCCAAGCCACAACUUCUCUGGACCUCAGGUUCCCUACCUGCAAAACAGUGUGGGUAACAGUACCCCCCCAACCCAUGGCACUCAAGGAGGGAUGAAUCGAGUUCAGGAGGUUAAGGGCAACAGGGGUCUGGAGUUUCCCGGUCCUCUGGGAUCCCGAGUGGGCCAGAUGUCUCGGACGGCAACACACUCACCCAGCCUAGAGUGCCUUCCACCCAGGGCCAGUCCUAAUGGCCUGGGUGAAGAACAGAGACUCCUGGGGCCUGGGUCCCACCCGAGCCACCCCCUAGCCCAGGCCACACCUCCACCCGCCCAGGCCGCCAAUAAAACAGGCCGGGCAGAACCCAACAGGCCUGGAGUGACACCCCAGAGGGAAGGCACAUCAUGGGGACAGCGGAGGGGGCAAAGCUCCACCCUCCCGAGAGGCAGCUGGGCCCAGGAGGCCACCCCCAACCCUUACCCUGGCAAAGGAGCCCCCAAGACUCAUACACAGCUCCUGGGCAGACAAGGCCUGGAGAGACGAGGAGGCAGGGACCCCUGGGACUCAGAUCCCUCCUGUGACCCGACCCCACCCAGGUCAGUGUUGCACAGCAGACACCCCCAAGCCUCCCCAGUCACCGGACAAGAGAGUCCUGUGGCCCCUCUGCCCUAGACACCCUUUACCCAGACCCCUGAGUCUUUCGGCCCCAUGGGUGAAAAGGCAGUGGGGGGCAGGUGGGUGGCCCCUGGGAGAAAGCGAGGAGGGCAUGUUCCAAAAUAGCCUCUGUUCCAUCUGUUGUGGGGACAGAGGUCCCAGGUCACAAAGACCUCAGGGCCAUAGCGCUGGGUUGUGACCAGGAGAGCCUGGCGGUCCGGAGGCCACCAGGGCGGCACCCAGCCCCCCAUCCCCAGGCUGGAGGUCACCCCCCACCCACCCAACCCAAGAAAGUGCUGAGGGGGCAUUUCUGACUCAGGGUCUGGUCGGGUCUGUCGCCCCUCCCCCACCUGGGACAACUUCAAGACAAGGCCCCCCCCACGGAAGAGCUCCAAGCAAAGCCCCCCCUCUUUGGGGGCACAGAAGGAAGAGGCCAAAGGAAGCCACUCCCCCCACCAGCCCGCUCCGAGCCCUGCUGGGUUUAAUGACCCUUCCGGGUCGCCGGGUGGG
rnacentral:lncRNA from 1 species